UACGUAGGGUGCGAGCGUUAAUCGGAAUUACUGGGCGUAAAGCGUGCGCAGGCGGUUGUGUAAGCCAGAUGUGAAAGCCCCGGGCUCAACCUGGGAAUGGCAUUUGUGACUGCACGGCUAGAGUGUGUCAGAGGGGGGUAGAAUUCCACGUGUAGCAGUGAAAUGCGUAGAGAUGUGGAGGAAUACCGAUGGCGAAGGCAGCCCCCUGGGAUAACACUGACGCUCAUGCACGAAAGCGUGGGGAGCAAACAGG
rnacentral:rRNA from 1 species